UACGGAGGGUGCAAGCGUUAUCCGGAUUUAUUGGGCUUAAAGGGCGCGUAGGCGGGCAAGUAAGUCAGUGGUGAAAUCUCCGGGCUUAACCCGGAAACUGCCAUUGAUACUAUUUGUCUUGAAUACUGUGGAGGUCAGCGGAAUAUGUCAUGUAGCGGUGAAAUGCUUAGAUAUGACAUAGAACACCAAUUGCGAAGGCAGCUGGCUACACAAAUAUUGACACUGAGGCACGAAAGCGUGGGGAUCAAACAGG
rnacentral:rRNA from 1 species